GGACCGAUUUUCCUCGGCCGCGCGUGUCCCUCCUCGCCUCGUUUCGCGGCCGGGCCGUGCGCCUGCACGGCGGAGCGAGGGGCGAGGGAUUGGCUGACGGACGGGUGGGGGAACGGACGGAGUGAUUAUUGGACGCGGGGAUCCUCAACGAGCAAACUGAGACGGAUCGAUCGCAUAAAUCUCCCGCCACGGCGCAAUAUAAAGGCGAAAGGCGGUGGCGGCGGUUGCCUGGACGGAGGCGGCUCGAACGACUCGGCAUAAAUACGACUUAGCCGAGCCGCGAUCGACUAAUUGAGAAUUAUUCGGCCGCAAUAGCGUUCGCGUCGCCCGCUAAUUUCGCUGAGUUAUCGGUGGAGUUAAACGUAGCGUUCGGGGCGGAAGGAGCGCGGCUGGAUUACACGCGCCCCACCAAUGGGAUUUGCUGUAACGUAACGCGCCGUCUUCCCCUGUGCCACGUGAACGAGAGAGUUAGAAAUGGGGAGGGGAGGGAAGAGGGGGAGGGGGGGUUUCUCUCGGUGACCGGUUCGAUCUCCGAACGGGAAAAAUUUUCUCGGCGGUUAAGUGGUCUCCUCGGGCCAUCUGUCAUCCGACAACAUUUCGCUCGGUGUCACGAUUUCGCUCGCUGGCCCCAAGAUUUCCGCAGCAUGUGUCCCUUUAUUCGUUUCUAUGGAACUUGGAAAAAGAGAAGAAAAGGAAUACUUCGCUUUUGGGACGAAAGUUUUGAUAGAAUUUUGAAAUGAACGACAGAGGCAAAGAAAUAUCAGCCGUAUCUUUAAAUUUUUCAAACUCGAUAAAUAAUUUCACACAAAACGUUACGAACAUUCGAUUGAUUUAAUAAAAAAAAUUACACGAUAA